rnacentral:rRNA from 1 species
GACGAACGCUGGCGGCGUGCUUAACACAUGCAAGUCGAACGGAAAGGCCCUGCUUUUGUGGCGUGCUCGAGUGGCGAACGGGUGAGUAACACGUGAGUAACCUGCCCUUGACUUUGGGAUAACUUCCGGAAACUGGGGCUAAUACCGGAUAGGAGCUCCUGCUGCAUGGUGGGGGUUGGAAAGUUUCGGCGGUUUGGGAUGGAUUCGCGGCUUAUCAGCGUGUUGGUGGGGUAGUGGCGUACCAAGGCUUUGACGGGUAGCCGGCCUGAGAGGGUGACCGGCCACAUUGGGACUGAGAGACGGACCAGACUCCUACGUGAGGCAGCAGUCGGGAAUAUUGCACAAUGGGCGGAAGCCUGAUGCAGCAACGCCGCGUGCGUGAUGACGGCCUUCGGGUUGUAAACCGCUUUCGCCUGUGACGAAGCGUGAGUGACGGUAAUGGGUAAAGAAGCACCGGCUAACUACGUG